AUUUAUUUAGUAUAUAAGUACAAUUGACUUCCAAUCAAUAAGAUUGAUAUCUAUCAAAAUAAAUA
rnacentral:tRNA from 1 species